UACGUAGGGGGCUAGCGUUGUCCGGAAUCAUUGGGCGUAAAGAGCGUGUAGGCGGUCCGGCAAGUCCGCUGUGAAAGUCGGGGGCUCAACCCUCGAAUGCCGGUGGAUACUGUCGGGCUAGAGUGCGGAAGAGGCGAGUGGAAUUCCUGGUGUAGCGGUGAAAUGCGCAGAUAUCAGGAGGAACACCUAUUGCGAAGGCAGCUCGCUGGGACGUAACUGACGCUGAGACGCGAAAGCGUGGGGAGCGAACAGG
rnacentral:rRNA from 1 species